rnacentral:Y_RNA from 1 species
AGCUGGUCCAAAGGUGGUGCAUUAUCUUGAUUGAAGAUUCACAGAGCGGGUCAAACUCCUUGUUCCACUCUUCCCCUCUUCUCAUGACUACACUUGACAAGUCUUAA